AACUUGAUCGAGAAGAAACUCGAGGAGCAAUUUGAGGGCUUUGGAAAGAAAAGAGACUCAAAUCAAAGGCAGAGCGCAGAGGAGAAUCGGAGCAGGAGAUUAAUUAGGUACAGCCGUACAGCUACAACUAGAGAACUGGAGAAGGAAAUUAUCAAUUAGGAAAUUCGAUUGAAGAAAUCAGGAGCGACAAAAGUCUAUAUAUUGGCGUCAUAUCCUGAAAAAAGAAAUCAAUUUCUCAAACAGAAAAAAGAAAUAUAUUGUGUGUGGAGGAGGCAAGAGAGUUCGACUGACAGAGGAUCGAAGAACUAAUGUGGAGGAAUUAGUUGAAACUAAUGCUGGGAAUUCUCACACAAGCCCAGGGAUCGAGAAAGUAGUAGAGGUAAGUUCGAACCACUUGAAAGGGUUGGGAGGAAUCAACGAAGAAUCCAAGGUGUGGCGGUGGAAGUAGUCGUCAUGACCACCUUCCUGCUCAAGAGUAUACAGAAGAAAGAGAAAGUAUCGAACUAGGCAUCUGCAAGAAAGUAAUGAUACUGGGGUCGAUGGUGAAGGUCAUGAUGAAGAUAGUUACUCAAGUGACUUAACUGAAGAUGAGAUUCGGGUGGAUGAAACCCAUAUUAUCGAGAGAUCAAUGGACUUACAAAGAAUGGUGAAUACAAAGGUAGAAGUGAACAAGUCAUCGGGGUUCUUUCUCUUAAAGAGUUGGAGGAGAAAUAUAGGAAGCCUAUGAAUAAGAGUGGUAUAGGGUCUGAAAAGCAAGCAACUGAGGCAUUGGACGGACAUUUUUGUCGACUGCCUGAUCAAGGGAGGUAGAGGGUCUAAAAUCGUGAGAGGUUGAGGGAGAGGAGAUAGAGGAGGAAAGCCAUUUAAUUUUGCGUUCCAGGUAGUGGGAUUGAUGGGCAGCAUUAUUUAUUUAUUUUUUUGAACCUGAGGGGCUAAAAGUGACAGCUUGCAUUCCUACUUAUUGGCAUGCAUAUUAUUCGGGGCAUACUCUGAAUUGUUGAGGAGAAAUGUCAAUUUAAAACCUUCUUAAUCUGCAGGGUUUGACAGAGUUCUGCACAAGUAUAAACAACUGAAAUCAUUUUGGGUAUAACUAAGGUAAGACCCUACAGCCUAGGAUAGUGAAGAAAAUCCAACUAAAAGAAAAACAAACAUGGAUGAUGUUAAUGUACAUGUGGGGAGAAGGCGACAGUUACCACUAUGGAUGCAGGGUGUAGUUGCUGCUGACCAGGUAAGGAAGUCUAGGAAUGAAGAUGAAGAAAAAUCCACUUCCGAAUUAAGAUCUGUGACAUCUCAAGCUCCAGAGCUUAAGAAGAAAUCCACAACUAAAAAGCUUGACAAUGUGGUUGAACUUUGUGACAAGGAACAUUUGAAGAUGGAGUCAAACUUUCGUAGAAAAUGUGAAAAAAUGGAGAGGAAAAGGAAAUUAUGCCAGAAAGAUGUGGUUUGUGAAAGUCCUAACCACAGAAAAGGUGAUUUGCAGAAUAAAAGAACCAAGAGAAGUAACAUCAUAGUACCCACAGUCCAGAAACCUGCUUCUCAAAGGAAACAAAGAGGAAAUUAUGAGCAUGGAAAUAGUGAGGAUAUUGGAACCCCAUUGCCAAGUGAAGAGGAUGGAGAACUGACAAUGGAAGAUCUAAUGACUAUUGCCAAAGAGCAUGUCAAAGCUGAGAAGGAGAUGGACCAUCAACAAUCUGCAAAAAUGGAACUAAAAUCAGAAAACCAACUUCCAGCCACCCUUUUAUUCCGAGACAAAUCCGAAGAGUCUCUCAGGGUCAAUCAAGGCAGCAAGAAAUCAUUCACACAUACAGCAAUAGGAUCCACUUCUCAUCUUACUGAGACUAGAUUGAAGGAUGAAGAUGGUUCAGCAAGUGAAAGUGUCCUAGACAAUCCCCACAGAACAGGUGAUGCUACUGCAGAUAUGUUGGAUCUAUUUUUGGGUCCAUUGCUUAAGAAGCCCCAAGAUAAAGAAAGAAAGCUUGAAUUUGUUAUGGAGGACAUGCCAUCUUCCCGUGAGUUCAAGAGUCAAAGCAAGGUUGUUGGGGAGGAAGCAGUCCUUCUGACAAAGAAGAAGAGCAGCCUUAAAGACAGGGUUGCAAUGUUCCUUGACUGAAUAGUUUGUUUGUAUUUGGAAAUGGGAAGCUCUACAGCACAGUGAAGCAGCCUUAUGGAUGUUACAGAACCUCCCACAGUUUAUGACUAUAUUUGCAGUCAAUGAUGUAGCCUUGACCAGCAUCCACACCACAGGUUAUAACAUACUUAUAAUGGAGAGGUUCCAUAUACAUGAUAAUUGCAAUUUAUGAGUGGCAAGCUAAAUGUUGGUUGUUGAUUGGAGUCUACUGGCAGAGGCAAGGUGGACUGGAUAAAGAGUGGUUUGAGGAAGAAAUUGAAGGAGGCAAUAUUUGAAAUUUGUUUGGAGAAUGAUCUGGGUGCAUGUGGUGUUACUAUGAGUUUCUUUUAGAAGUUCUGGCAUAUCAUCAAGUAAGAUAUGUUCAAGAUUUUUGACGACCUCUAUGUGUUUAGUGUGAUCAG